GGCCAGACUCCUACGGGAGGCAGCAGUGGGGGAUAUUGCACAAUGGGGGGAACCCUGAUGCAGCGACGCCGCGUGGGUGAAGAAGUAUUUCGGUAUGUAAAGCCCUAUCGGCAGGGAAGAAAUUGGACGGUACCUGACUAAGAAGCCCUGGCUAACUACGUGCCAGCAGCCGCGGUAAUACGUAGGGGGCAAGCGUUAUCCGGAUUCACUGGGUGUAAAGGGAGCGUAGACGGCCAUGCAAGCCUGGAGUGAAAGCCCGGGGCCCAACCCCGGGACUGCUCUGGGAACUGUGCGGCUGGAGUGCGGGAGGGGCAGGCGGAAUUCCUGGUGUAGCGGUGAAAUGCGUAGAUAUCAGGAGGAACACCGGCGGCGAAGGCGGCCUGCUGGACCGCGACUGACGUUGAGGCUCGAAAGCGUGGGGAGCAAACAGGAUUAGAUACCCCUGUA
rnacentral:rRNA from 1 species